rnacentral:lncRNA from 1 species
UUUGGCUCCUGGGAGUAGGCAGGCCAUGUGUGGCUGCAUAAAAAUACUAAACAGAUAUUUUUUUCAAUAUGUGAGUGUUAAAUAUUUUCCAGUACUUGAAAAUACAUUCCAAAAGAAUAAGAGAUUUUGAUAUCAAGUAUCCCAUCUGAAGAAAGAGAAAGAAAUUGAUGCCCUCUUAAAUUUCUACUUGAUUUCUACAUCCUCAAGGCAUCCCCAAGCUGGAAAGACAAUGAGGAACCUCAACAGCUAAGAUUGCUUCCUCACCAGCGAAGACCAGACCAAAAAAGGAAACUGAGGUACAACAGGCUCAACAUUUCCCAUAGAGUACAGAGACAUGAUCAGGACCAGUUCGUCUUAAUCAAACUUAUCCCCCAAGCUUUAAGAACAGCCACUGGCCUAUUAUUGUCUUCUAACUGGG